UACGAAGGGGCUAGGCGUUGCUCGGAAUCACUGGGCGUAAAGCGCACGUAGGCGGAUCGUUAAGUCAGGGGUGAAAUCCUGGAGCUUAACUCCGAAACUGCAUUCGAUACUGCCGUGCUUGAGGACUGGAGAGGAGACUGGAAUUUACGGUGUAGCGGUGAAAUGCGUAGAUAUCGUAAGGAAGACCAGUGGCGAAGGCGGGUCUCUGGACAGUUCCUGACGCUGAGGCACGAAGGCCAGGGGAGCAAACGGG
rnacentral:rRNA from 1 species